GGCUUCACUAUCAGUUGAUUUUCUAUGGUGAUUGACUACUCUCCGAAUCUCUUUUAGACUUUCUCCCAUCACGAUCGACUUUACUCCGAGCUUCUUUCAAACUUUGUCAAUAUUCGGGCUUCUCCAGCAGCAGGACUUCUACAGUAACCGGACUCCAUCCAAGUUUCUACAGUGGUCGACCACCUUUCGAAUUUCAUCCGAGCUUCUACAGUAAGCGAAUUUCGUCCGAACUUCUAUUGCAAGCGGACUUUAGCUGAGCUUCU
rnacentral:lncRNA from 1 species